AGUGAACGCUGGCGGUAGGCCUAACACAUGCAAGUCGAACGGCAGCACAGUAAGAUCUUGCUCUUACGGGUGGCGAGUGGCGUACGUGUGAGGAAUACAUCGUAAUCUACUUUUUCGUGUGGGAUAACGUAGGGAAACUUACGCUAAUACCGCAUACGACCUACGGUUGAAAGCAGGGGAUCGUCGGGGCUGGCGCGAUUGGAUGAGCCGAUGCCGGAUUAGAUAGUGGGCGGGGUAAACGCCCACCAAGUCGACGAUCCGUAGCUGGUCGGUGAGGCUGGUAGGCCGCCUGGGAAGUGAGCCACGGACCAGAGGACUAAGGGAGGCAGCAGUGGGGAAUAUUGGACAACGGGCGCAAGUCUGAUACAGCCAUCCCGCGUGGGUGACGAAGGCGUUCGGGUUGGAAAGCCCUUUUGUUGGGAAAGAAAAGCAGCAGGUUAAUACCCAGCUGUUCUGACGGUAACCAAAGAAUAAGCACCGGCUAACUUCGUG
rnacentral:rRNA from 1 species